GGCGUGGUUGUGCAACAGCCAGCGCCUCCUCUAAUUUCCCCCCCUCGUGCGCAGCGUGACUGACUGCUGGCGUGGGAUCGCUCCGCCGGGGGACCUUCGGGGUGCAGUUGCGGGUCUGCUUUCUGGACUCAUCUACGGCUGGGGGAGACUCCCACCCUCCGGGUUGCUGUGACGGUGCCUUGGCUUGCAGGGUGAGGCCCUGCUCCUUCGUCGGCCGUCAUUGGCCACCACGUCUCAGACGGACCUGCUGUUUUGGCUUUACCGGAAAUUGCACUAUCCUAACUCACACUUUUAAUGAACUGUGGCAGCUGAUAGGAGCACGGCUCCACAGUUGGAGACUGCCCGGGCUCAGGACCAAUUCUGUGUGUUCUUGGAGUAUUGUCUCGUGCACUGUGGCUCUCCACGCUACACCUUCACGGUGCGUGGAGUGAUCACCACAAAGGGACGCCUAGUUUUUAGCAACCUUUUAAAUACUGUUUAUAUUGGUUGGUAUUUCGUUGUUCUGUUUUGUUGUUUCCACGCGGACAUGU